rnacentral:rRNA from 1 species
GGGUAGCUAUGUACGGAAGGGAUAAGCGCUGAAAGCAUCUAAGCGUGAAGCCCCCCUCAAGAUGAGAUUUCCCAAUUAGUAAGACCCCUUGAAGACGACGAGGUAGAUAGGUUGGGGGUGGAAGUGCAGUAAUGCAUGGAGCUGACCAAUACUAAUCGGUCGAGGGCUUAUCCUAA